rnacentral:rRNA from 1 species
UCCACGCAGUAAACGCUGUUCACUCGUUGUUGGCAAUACACCGUCAGCGGCUAAGGGAAACCGAUAAGUGAACCACCUGGGGAGUACGGUCGCAAGAUUGAAACUCAAAGGAAUUGACGGGGGCCCGCACAAGCGGUGGAACAUGUGGUUUAAUUCGAUGAUACGCGAGGAACCUUACCUGGGCUUAAAUGUUGAUUGCAUAUAAUGGAAACAUUAUUUUCCUUCGGGACUAUUAACAAGGUGCUGCAUGGUUGUCGUCAGCUCGUGCCGUGAGGUGUCGGGUUAAGUCCCAUAACGAGCGCAACCCCUAUCGUUAGUUGCCAGCGGAUCAUGCCGGGGACUCUAACGAAACUGCCGGUGUAACCGAGAGGAA